rnacentral:rRNA from 1 species
AUUCUACAGACUGGAGUAGCUUUAUAAUUUAGACUACAAGAUUAACUUUUAGUGUAAAAAACAAAUUAUAACUAAACCCUAUUUAGUCAAACAUUAACCACUCCAACAAACCAUAAUCUCAGAACUCGGAUUAGAUACCCGACUACUGUAUGGCUCAACAUAUAUAAGAAUACUACGAGCGAAAGCUUAAACCUCAAACAAUGUGGCGGUGCUUUACUCCUCAUCAGGGGAUCCUGUGGCUUAAUUCGAUAAUCCACGAAAAUCUUAGCUACUCUAGACUUCCAGCUUGUGUAUGGCCGUUUAUGCUUGCUCUUAAAAGAAAAAAAAGGAAGCAGAAGAGGUUACUACCCCAAAAAUUCAGGUGACAUACAGCCAAUGAUUAGCAGAUCCAUGGGAUACAAAUAAACAUCCUAUCAAAUUUAAAAAUUAAAAUUUUUAAUAAAGGAGGACUUGAAAGUAAGGGUUACUCCAUCAAAUGACCCUGAAUAAGAACUAAAGCGCGCACAAAUCGCCCGUCACUCCGACAAUAAAGUAGGAUAAGUCGUAACAUAGUAGGGGUAAUGGAAAUUGCCCCUAUCACA